rnacentral:lncRNA from 1 species
GUAUAUUUUCUGCAUAUCUUACGCAAAAAAAGGCAAAAAAAAAACAAUACCUGUGUGCUCCCAAAACUUGCAUUCGCACCCAAAUAUGCCCUCAGCUUCGUCCGCUAGCACACGAAACUCAUGCCUUGACCAUGAAAAUUCCUAGCUCUGGUUGUAGUGGUGCACAAGGAACUCAGUUGUGUUCUGCGGAGACGUUUUAAUUCUGAAACCGGUGCUAUGGAAUUGCCGUUCCCUGAACACACCAUACACGGCCCUAGUGUAAUGCUCUAGAAUUUGCGCC